UACGUAGGGGGCAAGCGUUAUCCGGAUUUAUUGGGUUUAAAGGGUGCGUAGGCGGCAUUAUAAGUUAGUGGUAAAAUAUUGGGGCUUCACCUCACUACGCCAUUAAUACUGUAGAGCUAGAGAACAGACGAGGUAGGCGGAAUAAGUUAAGUAGCGGUGAAAUGCAUAGAUAUAACUUAGAACACCGAUAGCGAAGGCAUCUCACGAAUCCGCGAUUGACGCUGAUGCACGAAAGCGUGGGUAUCGAACAGG
rnacentral:rRNA from 1 species